rnacentral:tRNA from 1 species
GCCGAUAUAGCUCAGGGGUAGAGCGUUUCCUUGGUAAGGAAAAGGUCCCGAGUUCAAAUCUCGGUAUUGGCUCCA